rnacentral:lncRNA from 1 species
GCUUGUUAUAUCCAUUAAAGGUGCAAUGUGGUAUAAGAGAAUUUUUGACCAUCUGAAAAUACUUUAUCAAUAGUGAAUUGAUGGGUAAAUCCUUGUUGAGAUGUACAUAUAAGACAACACCAAUCUUCGAAAAAAGUCUAUAAACCAAACCAAUAAUAAGCGUGAAUAGAACAAGAUCAAAUCUGAGCGCACUUGGAUCCUUUAAUCAAAUCUCAAGAUCAUGAUGUCGUAUUCGUUUUUUCAUCCUUU